rnacentral:rRNA from 1 species
AUGCCUCUAAGUCGUGCUCCAACACGUGGGAGAUACGCAUCAUGGGUGCUACAGCCUUCCACGCCAAGGAGAGUCCCAUCCGGACACGAGACGAAGUCUUCAAUCUUGUAUCUUCAUAGUCCAACAGUCCGGCCAAAGGAUAUAGUCCAGCUGUCCGGAGACCCCCUAAUCCAGGACUCCCUCACCACCUACAAAGUGAACAAGUUAUCCCAUGCAGCGAGGCUCGGGCUUAUUAAUUCUGUGUUUGCCUCCAUCCCUGUCUAUUACAUGUCCAAUAUCCUUUUCACUAAAAAAUUCCUAGCAAAGCUCACUUCCAUCAUCAGAAACUUCUGGUGGGUUGGAAUUAGAGAGGAGCCAGGUGCUAGAGCUAUGUGUCUUAGGGCUUGGAAGGAUCUUUGUACUCCUAAGAAGGAGGGUGGCCUUGGUAUUAAAAACAUGCUUGCUGUGAAUCAAGGCCUACUUCUUGCCUCGGCUUGGAGGCUUGCUGAAAACCCUGAAGGGCAUCUCCAUAAAAUUCUUAAGUCUAAAUAUUUUCCCGAUUCUUCCAUUUGGAGAGCUUCUGCUAACAUCCCAAAAUCUGCUUUCUGGUCCUCCAUUCUUAAAGUGAUGCCUAUGCUUAAAUCUCAUGCUUUUAUUCAGAUUUCACAGGGGAAUAGUUCUAUUUGGAGUACUCCUUGGUGUGCUUCCUGGGAAGAUAUUUAUGAUCAUCUCAUAAUUCAGCAUAGAAAUUACAUUUACCCUACUAAGAUCUCUGAUCUUUGGCUUCCUGGACAAAAACCUAGAAUGUGCAGCUAA